rnacentral:rRNA from 2 species
GCAGUCGAGCGACGGAUUAAGAGCUUGCUCUUAUGAAGUUAGCGGCGGACGGGUGAGUAACACGUGGGUAACCUGCCCAUAAGACUGGGAUAACUCCGGGAAACCGGGGCUAAUACCGGAUAACAUUUUGAACCGCAAGGUUCGAAAUUGAAAGGCGGCUUCGGCUGUCACUUAUGGAUGGACCCGCGUCGCAUUAGCUAGUUGGUGAGGUAACGGCUCACCAAGGCAACGAUGCGUAGCCCACCUGAGAGGGUGAUCGGCCACACUGGGACUGAGACACGGCCCAGACUCCUACGGGAGGCAGCAGUAGGGAAUCUUCCGCAAUGGACGAAAGUCUGACGGAACAACGCCGCGUGAGUGAUGAAGGCUUUCGGGUCGUAAAACUCUGUUGUUAGGGAAGAACAAGUGCUAGUUGAAUAAGCUGGCACCUUGACGGUACCUAACCAGAAAGCCACGGCUAA